rnacentral:rRNA from 1 species
GAUGAACGCUGGCGGCGUGCUUAACACAUGCAAGUCGAACGGAAAGGCCCAAGCUUGCUUGGGUACUCGAGUGGCGAACGGGUGAGUAACACGUGGGUGAUCUGCCCUGCACUUCGGGAUAAGCCUGGGCAACUGGGUCUAAUACCGGAUAGGAGCACAUGUUGGAUGGGGUGGUGGAAAGUUUAUCGGUGUGGGAUUAGCUAGUGGCGUAUCAGCUUGUUGGUGGGGUAAUGGCCUACCAGGGCGUCGACGGGUAGCGGGCCUGGGAGGGUGUACGGCCACAUUGGGACUGAGGUACGGCCCAAACUCCUACGGGUGGCCGCAGUGCGGAAGCUUGCACCAUGGGCGCAAGCCUGAUGCAGCGAGGCCGCGUAGGGGAUGACGCCCUUCGGUUUGUAAACUCCUUUCGCUAUGGACGAAGCGUUAUGUGACGGUACCUGGAGAAGAAGCACCGGCUAACUACGUG